AUUGAACGCUGGCGGCAUGCUUUACACAUGCAAGUCGAACGGUAACAGCACUUCGGUGGCUGACGAGUGGCGCACGGGUGAGUAAUACAUCGGAACGUGCCUAGUAGUGGGGGAUAACUACUCGAAAGAGUAGCUAAUACCGCAUGAGAUCUAAGGAUGAAAGCAGGGGACCUUCGGGCCUUGCGCUACUAGAGCGGCUGAUGGCAGAUUAGGUAGUUGGUGGGAUAAAAGCUUACCAAGCCGACGAUCUGUAGCUGGUCUGAGAGGACGACCAGCCACACUGGGACUGAGACACGGCCCAGACUCCUACGGGAGGCAGCAGUGGGGAAUUUUGGACAAUGGGCGCAAGCCUGAUCCAGCAAUGUCGCGUGCAGGAUGAAGGCCUUCGGGUUGUAAACUGCUUUUGUACGGAACGAAAAGCCCUCUUCUAAUACAGGAGGGUCAUGACGGUACCAUAAGAAUAAGCACCGGCUAACUACGUG
rnacentral:rRNA from 1 species